GAUCAAGAAGCUAUUUAGCAAGCCGGUUUCGGCCCGUCUAUAGGCGGCAUCUCCGCCCUUGAUUU
rnacentral:tRNA from 1 species